AGAGUUUGAUCCUGGCUCAGGACGAACGCUGGCGGCGUGCCUAAUACAUGCAAGUCGAGCGAGUGAAGAAGAAGCUUGCUUCUUCUGAUUUAGCGGCGGACGGGUGAGUAACACGUGGGCAACCUGCCCUGUAGAUUGGGAUAACUCCGGGAAACCGGGGCUAAUACCGAAUAAUCCAUUCCCUCACAUGUGGGAAUGUUAAAAGACGGCAUCUCGCUGUCACUACAGGAUGGGCCCGCGGCGCAUUAGCUAGUUGGUGAGGUAACGGCUCACCAAGGCGACGAUGCGUAGCCGACCUGAGAGGGUGAUCGGCCACACUGGGACUGAGACACGGCCCAGACUCCUACGGGAGGCAGCAGUAGGGAAUCUUCCACAAUGGACGAAAGUCUGAUGGAGCAACGCCGCGUGAGUGAAGAAGGUUUUCGGAUCGUAAAACUCUGUUGUGAGGGAAGAACAAGUACGAGAGUAACUGCUCGUACCUGACGUACC
rnacentral:rRNA from 1 species